ensembl:lncRNA
GAGUCACUAAACCUACAACUCACAACAAUAAUAUUUAGGCCGAGCGGGGGAACUGUGAGCAGUCUGAAAAAGGUAGAUUGGUGAUUAGUGGCUUUCUACGCAGACUGGGAGUGGCUGCUGGCCUGACAUCAUUAAUCCUCCCAACCCGCACACGCUGACUGGCAAGGGAGGUACCGGCUGAAAGAUGGGAUGCUAAUUCAGUACUGGGUGACGAGCAGAACCAGAGUGAUCCAGAUCCGCCACACUGAAGUGUAAUGGGAACAAGAAGUCUGGAUGAGGAUCUUUAUUACGUGACUUUAUUGAAGCUCC